UCCCGGACAAACGAACUUAGAGGCCAGUGUGAUUGCUGCUGCCCAAGGACCCAGUAUAGCACAUUAAGGAGCACAGGGGCCAGAUUACUGCAGGUCGCUGCUGGGAUUGCUAAAGCAGAGUGCCAUGGCAGCCUCUCAACAACACAUAGGGGCUCCUUUCCCUGGGAGACAGUUGAUGCAGAGACUGCUCAGAAGGCUCCAGGAAGCUCUGCAACAUCAGCCUUUGGAUUUUGAUUAUUUACACUUUGUUUUGAGCCAUGAAAUGAGACUUAUUCAGUCUUUUGCAGAUGUGUUUGAACUGCCACAAGAUGUUGUUCUUGCCUCAUCUGAUUUAUUAAGACUUCUUCAUUUGCAAGAACAGGAGAGAGCUCAAACUUCCACCAAUAUAGAGUAUAGCCGAGCUACUGGCUGUCAGCAAAAGAACAGUGUUUCGGCGGAUGCGUGAGUUUGGACUGUCAGUGAAGAGAUCAUACAGUCGUCUCACAGAUGAGGAGCUGGACAGCCUUGUUCAUUCGGUUAAAAUGAGGAUGCCACAAAUAGGCUAUAGAAUGAUGAAGGGAGAACUGCAAGCAAUGGGACACCGUACAGAUGGGACCAGGUUUCAGCAUCUAUGCACAGGGUGGAUGCUGCUGGGAUUCUAGAGAGAAUGACUCAUUUAGGCUGUGUUGCUAGAAGAACACACUCUGUCAAAGGUCCCCACUCACUGUUCAUGUGGAUACAAACCACAAACUUAUCAGAUAUGGCAUUGUUCUCUUUGCUGGGAUUGACGGUUAUUCA